rnacentral:rRNA from 1 species
ACAAGCAGCGGAGCAUGUGGCUUAAUUCGACGCAACGCGAAGAACCUUACCAGGGCUUGACAUGCAGGGAAAGCGGCGGAAACGUCGUGUCCGCAAGGGCCCUGCACAGGUGGUGCAUGGCUGUCGUCAGCUCGUGUCGUGAGAUGUUGGGUUAAGUCCCGCAACGAGCGCAACCCUUACGGUUAGUUGCCAGCGGGUUAUGCCGGGCACUCUAGCUGAACUGCCGUUGACAAAACGGAGGAAGGUGGGGAUGACGUCAAAUCAUCAUGCCCUUUAUGUCCUGGGCUACACACGUGCUACAAUGGCCUGUACAGAGGGAAGCGAAAGGGUGACCUGGAGCGAAUCCCAAAAAGCAGGUCUCAGUUCGGAUUGCAGGCUGCAACCCGCCUGCAUGAAGUCGGAAUCGCUAGUAAUCGCGGAUCAGCACGCCGCGGUGAAUACGUUCCCGGGCCUU